ACAGCUUAUUUCUAUCAGAAUUUGAUCAAACGUGAGGAAUUCACUGUAUAACAUACUUUUAACUUGACAAGUAUGGAGUGCAUGUUAUGUAUAGUCACAUAUAUGCGAAAUAAUCACUGCUUAAUAUCACGGCGUCCAAUGUCGUGAAUUUUGGUUUUUGAUGCUUGUGGUACAUCAUUGAUUUAACUGAUCGAAACUCAUACCCAUUGGCUGUUGGUUUGAUAGUAUCGCUUCGCUUUAACGCUAUGAAAAACUGAUGUAUAAAAUAACGAUGAUCGUCAACAUUAUCAGUAAAUCAGUGGGGCUGAGAUGCUAUUUCUCAAGGAAUCAGUUUAUACACAAUGUUCCGCCUUAUAUUGUUUUCUCUUUUUAUCGCACCAGUGCUUCUGCUGGAUUGCUUCCAGUGUUCCUCAUCACUCUCCUGGCAAGACUGUGAUAAACAGGGAACGAAUACGACAUGUAAUACCAAACAGAAUGCUUGUUAUACGAAAUACAUUUUGCAAACGCAAAAUGGUCAACAAAACUAUGCUAAGUUCAUAAGGAGAUGUUAUCCUAGUGGUCUUUGUACUUAUAAAGAAGCAUGCGCGCCUCUUGAUACCUAUAGAACUGUCAGCUGUAGGUUCGUGUGUUGUAACACUUCUCGAUGUAACACUGCUUUACCAAGGAAAAGGGCGAACACGUUCAUCGAGAAAAACACUGGAAAAGGUUGCAGUGCAGUACGUGUGAGUAAAUACGGUCUGUUACUAAAUGUGAUGUCAUGGGUGAUUGGAAAUCAGUAGCUGUUACUGUAUGCCUGAAUGAACACGAAACUAGUGACGACUACUACAGUGAAAAAUCUCCAUGUAUUCCUCUUUGAGGGCGUUACUCAUUUACCAGACACAGUCAAGAAUCGCGCAGGUGAAUUGUGCAAGAAUCCUGAAAGACUACUCCCAGUCAUACAUCUGUUGGCGCUGAUACUCGGUUAGGCACAUUUAUUCUGAAAAAAAAAAAAAAAAAAAAAAAAUAAUAAUAAUAAUAAACAAAUAAAUGAAUAAAGCAGCGUUCAUAUUUUGGAUAUUCCAUGUUAUGCAUCCCUAAAUCUGUACAUUUGAUGUUUUUUCUGUAACUAAACACAACCCUUUGUACCAUUCUUACAAGCUUAGAUUAUUAUUCUUACUGUUUAAUAUUAUAUUUUAACAAUAAAACGAAACUAGUUUUACCGAGACAAUACAAGCUGAUCGUGUGUCAAGACCGCCGAAUAACUCAAGCCUUAACAUACUUGAGGAAAUCAAGAUGAAAUUAAUAUCAAAGUCUUGCGAGGCCAAAAUACUAAAUAUGUCAAAGAACUAUUAUUCAAUAUCCGCCACUGUCGUAUAUAAGUCUUCCAUGCACGCACUGGUACAGCUGUAUGGCAUGACAGAAUGUAAUAGAGRAUAGUGAAUAAAUGAAAUUCAUGGUUAA